GCACAAGCAGUGGAGUAUGUGGUUUAAUUCGAAGCAACGCGAAGAACCUUACCAGGUCUUGACAUCCACCGAAUCCGGAAGGGAUUCUGGAGUGCCCUUCGGGGAGCGGCGAGACAGGUGGUGCAUGGUUGUCGUCAGCUCGUGUCGUGAGAUGUUGGGUUAAGUCCCGCAACGAGCGCAACCCUUGUUAAUAGUUGCUACGCAAGAGCACUCUAUUAAGACUGCCGUUGACAAAACGGAGGAAG
rnacentral:rRNA from 1 species